rnacentral:rRNA from 1 species
ACGAACGCUGGCGGCAUGCCUAACACAUGCAAGUCGAACGAGACCUUCGGGUCUAGUGGCGCACGGGUGCGUCACGCGUGGGAACCUGCCCUUAGGUUCGGAAUAACUCCCCGAAAGGGGUGCUAAUACCGGAUAAUGUCUUCGGCCCAAAGAUUUAUCGCCUUUGGAUGGGCCCGCGUUGGAUUAGCUAGUUGGUAGGGUAAAAGCCUACCAAGGCGACGAUCCAUAGCUGGUCUGAGAGGAUGAUCAGCCACACUGGGACUGAGACACGGCCCAGACUCCUACGGGAGGCAGCAGUGGGGAAUAUUGGACAAUGGGCGAAAGCCUGAUCCAGCAAUGCCGCGUGAGUGAUGAAGGCCUUAGGGUUGUAAAGCUCUUUUACCCGGGAUGAUAAUGACAGUACCGGGAGAAUAAGCUCCGGCUAACUCCGUG